rnacentral:rRNA from 1 species
UACGUAGGGGGCUAGCGUUGUCCGGAAUCAUUGGGCGUAAAGCGCGUGUAGGCGGCCCGGUAAGUCCGCUGUGAAAGUCGGGGGCUCAACCCUCGAAUGCCGGUGGAUACUGUCGGGCUAGAGUACGGAAGAGGCGAGUGGAAUUCCUGGUGUAGCGGUGAAAUGCGCAGAUAUCAGGAGGAACACCAAUUGCGAAGCAGCUCGCUGGACGUCAGCUGACGCUGAGACGCGAAGCGUGGGAGCGACAG